GACCCAUGAAGAAAAUGUUAGGAAAGCUGCAGAGUUGGACGAGGAAGGGAAACUAUCAUUGCCUUUUUUUAUGCAUCCUUCCAUAAUACUGGACUCAGCCCCAGAAGCAAGGGGGAUUCUUCUUUGAAGAUGAUGCUGAAUAGCUGUAGAAAAGAGAAAUCUUUGAGGCCAUCAUCUUGUCUGACAUCAGAGACUGAACUGGAGAUAUCCACAGCUAGAAGAAUAAGUCUCCACAAGUAGUGGUGAAGAGCCAGGCACUCAAGAUGACAGCAGUAAAAAGACUCCCAUCCUCUAUGGAUCAGGUGGUCAGGGGGACAGAUGAGCAAACUGAAGCAAGAAGUGGUUACACGACUGUCUCAAGGUCAGCAAGUCAGGGGCAGCCUCAAGAACAAAACCGAAGUGUCCUGGCUCUCAUUUCAUUGCAUUAACAAAUAGAAAACAACGCCACAUUUUGAUUGCCUCAUACUUAAUCAUUAGUAUAUGCCAUACCACGAGAGUUAGCCACAUUAAUUCUGUCGAAUAUAUAAAAAGUAAGAGCAAAAAUAACUUUAACAAAAAUGGAAGAAAUAGGCAUUUCUUGUUUUUUUUCCAAAUGACUGAAAUUUCUAAUAUACUGAACUGCUUAAUGAUUCACUGAACUCUGUUUGAUUUGAAAGACAGAAAGUCUAAGAGAUUUAAAGUACUGUUCUUUUUGAGCAGCAAUUACUUGGCGAUUUAAUCAGCUAUGCAUUUACCAAAAAAAAAAAAAAAGUAGAAGCUAUUUUACGUAGGAGAACAAAAUGACUCACUAAAUGAACCUUCACCACAGGGAAAAAAUCCAUAUUACCAUCAAAGUAGUGAACGUGAUUCAAAGAAAUAUGCAAUGAGACUUGACAGUGAAGAUUUGUGGGCUGGAAAGUCACCUAAGUUCAUUCUGCAGCCUUCAGCCAAAGAAGAUCUAAUGCUUGAUUGUACUGUCAGAUAUGAAGGUUGUAUUGCAGUUGCUGGAGAUAUGGAGAUGUGUGGAGCAUGAGGAUGCAGAUCUGUAUAUUAACCUUUUUGUGUCUUGUCCACUUGUAAUUCUAGUACCAGCUUUUAACUCAGAGUGUUGGAAUUUACCAAUAACAACAGCUUCUGCUGUAGUUGCUAGUUGUGAUAAAAUUACAUUGGCUGCUAAGUCUCAUGGUUGGGGAAGAAAUCUGACCCACAGUAAAGCUGGGUAAAUAAAGAAAAAGUGCAUCAAAUACC